CUAUAUGGCUCUUAUAGUAUGUUACAUAGAACGAUCUCAUAUUGAAGCUUUGUUUUUUUUUACAAGUUUCUCUUAAUUGAAAAAUACACAACUUUCAACAACGGAUCUCUUGGCUCUUGCAUCGAUGAAGAACGCAGCGAAAUGCGAUAAGUAAUGUGAAUUGCAGAAUCCAGUGAAUCAUCGAAUCUUUGAACGCACCUUGCGCCCUUUGGUAUUCCGAGGGGCAUGCCUGUUUGAGAGUCAUUAAAUUCUCAACCUUACAAAUUUUUGUAUUUGUCAAGGCUUGGAUGUGAGAGUUGCUAGUUAAGAAUAUCUGACUGGCUCUCUUUAAAACUAUUAGUAGGACAUGUAGAAAUGCCUGCGGUUGGUGUGAUAAUAUGUCUACGCCUAUACCAAAGGGGAUUCUAGCUUGUAUGCACUACUUAUAAAAUCAUGCGCAUAUAUCUAGCAUAUAAGUGCAUAUAUUGACCAUUUGACCUCAAAUCAGGUAGGACUACCCGCUGAACUUAAGCAUAUCA
rnacentral:rRNA from 1 species